rnacentral:rRNA from 1 species
UACGUAGGCGGCAAGCGUUAUCCGGAUUUAUUGGGCGUAAAGGGAACGCAGGCGGUCUUUUAAGUCUGAUGUGAAAGCCUUCGGCUUAACCGGAGUAGUGCAUUGGAAACUGGGAGACUUGAGUGCAGAAGAGGAGAGUGGAACUCCAUGUGUAGCGGUGAAAUGCGUAGAUAUAUGGAAGAACACCAGUGGCGAAAGCGGCUCUCUGGUCUGUAACUGACGCUGAGGUUCGAAAGCGUGGGUAGCAUACAGG